rnacentral:rRNA from 1 species
AACGAACGCUGGCGGCAUGCCUAACACAUGCAAGUCGAACGAGACCUUCGGGUCUAGUGGCGCACGGGUGCGUAACGCGUGGGAACCUGCCCUUAUGUUCGGAAUAACUCCCCGAAAGGGGUGCUAAUACCGGAUAAUGUCUUCGGACCAAAGAUUUAUCGCCUUUGGAUGGGCCCGCGUUGGAUUAGCUAGUUGGUAGGGUAAAAGCCUACCAAGGCGACGAUCCAUAGCUGGUCUGAGAGGAUGAUCAGCCACACUGGGACUGAGACACGGCCCAGACUCCUACGGGAGGAAGCAGUGGGGAAUACUGGACAAUGGGCGACAGACUGAAACAGCAAUGCCGCGUGAGAGAUGAACGAAUUAGGGUUGUAAAGCUCUUUUACCCGGGAUGAUAAUGACAGUACCGGGAGAAUAAGCUACGGCUAACUUCGUG